rnacentral:tRNA from 1 species
UCGCCGUUGGAGGGUGUCGAGCCCGGCCAUGAUCUUGAGGAUCGUGGACUUGCCGGCGCCGUUCGGGCCGACGACGCCGAUC